CCUUUGCUUUACAGACAAAAAGAGAAACUUCCUGUGAAUUAGAAUCAUUUCCAUACGUUUGGAUAGGAUCGAGUACUGAAGUUUGGCUCCAAGUAGGAACUGUUAUGAUUUAAACAGUUCUACUGAAACCAAAAGAAGCUGCUGCAAACGGAGCCGCAUUUCAGUGCUAAGUUUCAUUGAAGUUCUAUUUGUCUCUGGACAUGUCAAGAAUUCUACUCUAUUCAGUACGUUGAUGUUCUAGAUUAUUCAGCCUUUCCUGUGAUAGUGGGCGGGCUCAUAUAAGACCGUUGACGGGUUUGACAGGUCGCAGCGUCGCAUCAGCCAAUAAAGAACGCACCUUUGGGUGCGUGACUUUUCCAGUGAUCAGAUCAGCAGUUUUCAGCAGGUUUCCUUUCUAAUGUGAGAGAAUGGAUGGAAGCGCGCCACAUCAGGCAGCCCUGCUGUGAACCAGAACACUGUGGAGGGACUGAUGGUACCUCUGCAGUUCAGCAGAACAUGCUGGCAGUCAGAGCUGAGAGCAGCAUCAUAGGUUGUUCUCCAAUUUGUGAAGAGGCCCUACCUCAAAACAUCAGAAUGUGGGCGGGUCUGUCUCAAAGAGCAUAUCACCUGAACGUAGCUUUCUCCAUAUUCUUAUUGUAAUCAUUCUGUUAAGUCUGAGUGUGAAGACUCUUCUCCUCACAGCUUGUUCUUUACUGUGUGUUUUCAGGAAGACCUCAACAACCAAAUCCUCUGUUUUUCUACAUUGUUGCACUGGGUGUGUGUGAAGUACUGAGCAUUUUAUAUGGAUCAACUGAAGAGAGGGCAGCUGUGUACCUGUACAG